AGAGUUUGAUCAUGGCUCAGAAUGAACGCUGGCGGCGUGCAUAACACAUGCAAGUCGAACGAGAAACCCCGGGCUUGCUCGGGGGAGUAAAGUGGCGCACGGGUGAGUAACGCGUGGGUAACCUACCCCUGAAUUUGGAAUAACCCGCCGAAAGGCGGACUAAUACCGGAUAUUGUCCCGGAGGCGCAUGCCUUCGGUAUGAAAGGUGACCUCUUCAUGAAAGUUGCCGUUCGGGGAGGGGCUCGCGUACCAUUAGCUUGUUGGUAGGGUAAUGGCCUACCAAGGCGACGAUGGUUAGCUGAUCUGAGAGGAUGAUCAGCCACACUGGAACUGGAACACGGUCCAGACUCCUACGGGAGGCAGCAGUGAGGAAUUUUGCGCAAUAGGGGAAACCCUGACGCAGCAACGCCGCGUGAGUGAAGAAGGCCUUCGGGUCGUAAAGCUCUGUCAAGUGGGAAAAAAGUCAACCGGUGAAUAGCCGGUUGGCCUGAUGGUACCACUAGAGGAAGCACCGGCUAACUCCGUGCCAGCAGCCGCGGUAAUACGGAGGGUGCAAGCGUUGUUCGGAAUUAUUGGGCGU
rnacentral:rRNA from 1 species